ensembl:lncRNA
UUAUUAAAGGUGAAACUUUGGUCAUUUUAAAUAACAACCAAACAAACCCAUUGUUUCUGAAAAUCUGUGUUUUGGCUGGCUUAGUUUUCACUUUUUUUUCAUGUUUGUCACACUCCAUCUGGUUUUGUGUACUCAGUGUCUUUUCUUCUCUGCCAAGUUGUUUUUUUCCAAUGUACAUACAUCACUCUACAUCUUCAAAGUAUUUUACAUAUGCUACAUGCUGGAUUUCCCCAAUGCUUUCAAACGAGCUUUAAAUGAGCUUUGAAAUGAGCUCUUCGUGUUUUUCUCAUGAGCUUCUAAAAUCCUUACUACGUGGCUCUUCUUUUAUUUGACUCCAAAGAAAACAAAUUUCAUUUACACACUGAAAGUGGCAAAUCCUCAUCGUGUUUUUAUUGUCCCAGAGUAUUCAAUAUUGGUUUAGCACAUACUUGGUGUCAAGCAGUGUGCAGUGGAUCCUGUUACCUAGACACUGGGGUGAUGACUUUGAGGUACCCGUAUCUCAGGGGAGAGGACACAUGUGUGCCUUUUGAUGAACAGUUGUGCUAAGUACAAGGUUCCCAGAACAAUGAGAGUGAGAAUGUAGAAAGCAGUGAUGAGGGCAGCAUUAGGAACUUCCUAAAAGCCCUUUCCACAACCAACUCAGUAAAUACCACCGACUGGGAAACAACAAAUUGUUACUGAGUUUGAGUGAAAAGCUACAAAUGAUUUUCAACUGCUUGGUGGGGUUGGUUGGACAAAAGGAUAUGCUGCAUGACACACUGAAGCUCCCAAUGCCACUCGGAUGCAUGAAGAGGUGUUGGAGAGGCAGAGAAGACAGAGGAGUGAUGUGGGCUUUUGUUGGUUUCUUUCUUUGUUUGUUUGUUUUUAGUUAACUUUGGGUGGGGGGGGGUUCUGCAAAGGUGAGGAGCAGGUGUGGAGAGACUUCGGGGUGAGCAGGAUUGGGAUGUAUGAUGUGAAUUUCCCAAAGAGUAAAUAAAGAAUUGUGUUUUUAAAAAGAUAGUGGUUUUAAAAAUGCAAUUUGUAUGCCAAAGCAGGCUGGACUCCAAUGUUCUGAAAUUUCAGGGCUGUGUGACCCUAGGUCGUUUACUGUGUGUCCCUAAGUUUCUUUCUCAGCAUUGCUUAGUAAUAAGCACUGUAUAAGUUGCAGUACAAUGAACAGAAAUGCCUCCACAUCCAAUAUGCCUCCAAUCUGCUGGGUUUGUUACUUUAUUUAUUUAUUCAUUUCAAAUCAAAUGAGCACACGUAGCUCAGAAUAUCUUUCCUCUGGCUAUACAUUAUAAGCAAAUAUAGGGAAGUUAGCACAAUUAUCUUCUAGUGAGAUCAAAACCUUGUAGUGAACUGCCAUAUAACUCCCUCAGUAGUAAGUGAUGAUGAAGCUCUGAAACACAGCUGUCUUCUUGCGAGUAACAAAGUAUUUCAUCCAAUGGAAAUCACAGCAGUUACUGCCAGGAGUCAAUACCAAUGAGACUCUUCAGUACUCUGAGAUCACAAACACUUUUGUAUAUAUAAGCUAUCACUGAUGUGUAUUUUGAAUGUUGGAGGGAUUCAUUUUACAUUUUCUCGUGUUUGGGUUUUUAUCUCCGAGAAUACUGGUUACAUUUGUGCUUCUUUCCCAUUUUUUUUUUUUUGUGUUGGAAGGGAGUCUGGAAAAUUUACAGGCUAGUCUCAGGGGGAGCUGAUCGUGCUGCCUCCUGAUGCUCCUGGAGAAACAGUGUGCAAAGAACACAGUGGUGCUAUUGAGUUAUAAAUGACUGGAACGAGAAGGAAUAUAUUACUUUGCAUUUUAUAAAAUCAUUGGACUAAAUAUUGGCAGGAAGAAAUAUUUGUUCUUGUAGGAUGAAAGGAUUACUUAUUUUUUUUUUAACAUGCAACCUUCUGGAUUCCAUUUGGGAAGGCAUAUCUACACACACAGUAAAAAGAUGCAAUGUAAUAUAAAGGUCAAGAAUAUUAGGACAAGAAGAAAGUAUGUAUGAAAUGAUGUCAUGAAAUGCAAUGCUCUGUACCUUAAUUUUUUUAAAAAACCAAUGUAAUAACUACACAAAAAUUGUGAUUUUGGAAAAUUACUCUGCUUCUGGUUUUUAUGAAGCAUUAAGUACGGAGAUUCUGAUAGUAUAUAUGUAGCCUAAAGGAAGACCUUACAUACAGUAAGUGCUUCAUUAAAGCAUCAGGUAAUGUUUGAAACAAUUAGUCACAUCAAGAGGGUAAUAAAACUUUUAGAGUUGUUUUGAAACAUUACAAUUAUCCAUGACUGUAAGAAAAUAAGCUUCAUGUAAGCAGGAGUUAUGUAACAUGUUUCUUAUAACCUUAUUGUUUACUCCAGCACCCAUGUGCAGACUGUACUUGAUAAUCAUACUUGGACUACCCUCCCCAGGACUUAGGCAUGUCUGCCUCCUCUCACCAGUUAAUUUCAGCUUCAAAGUCUUUUCUCCAAAGGCCUCCUCGGGGACCACCCAACUAAAACCACAUGCUCACUCCCUAUUUCAGCCAUUGUUUAGAUUGUUUGUCUCAGAUCCUUCCUCCUUCCUACAAAUUAUCUUUUUUUCUAUUUCCCUAUUUAUUGUUUACCCCUUCCUGCUAGAACACAGGAUUCAUGGAACACAGGAAACUUGAUGUUUUAAUCUACAUCAUAUUGGUGCCCCGAAGAGAGACAGGUAUCUAAUAGCUGACAAAUAGAGGAAUUUAUCUCAGGUGAAGAUGCAGCCUGCAAAGUAAGGCCAUGCGUCGUAAAAGGAAAUACUUCGUAUAACUCCAUCUUUAGUUUGGGGUGUUCAUGGAUUGACAGCUGUGGAAGAAAGAGGAGGAACUACCUGCUUUCCACAAGCUCUUUGAUUGAAAUGCCUUGGCCUUCCACCCCAGCCUCAAUCAGUCCUUGUCUAAGGACUGCCCACAAGAAGCUCUGAUGUUGGCGCUGUCUACAGCCGAGUGUCAAGAGGCACAAUGUCUGUGUUUCUUCUAUUCAGAGAGACCCGAGUGGUAUAUCUCCAUGCCAUUUACAUCUCUCCAUCUUUCCCACUUGCUUAUUCUACAAACAUCAAUGUGCGUGUUCCAUGUUCCAGGCACUGUUUAAGGUUCCAGGAAUGUCACAGGAACAUAGCAAAGUCCUCUACCUCAAGGAAGACUCUGAUAAACAAGCACAUUGAUGUCUAACCAAUCAUUAAACAGUAGGCGUCACAAAGAACAAUACUUUUGGACUAAGAUGGGGAGAUGGUAUUUUACCGGAACUCUGAAGAAAUUAAGGGAGAAGAUCCUAAAUGGACAAACCAUACACUAGCCAAUAGGACCAGCAAUGAGAAGCUCUACCUCCACCUCCAUGCACCAGGCCAAUAGAUGCCAGUCAUGUAUUUGGGGGUUGAGUUAUGAGUAUCCAUCUUAAGGGUCAAAAAUUCAGAAUCUUGGGGUUAUUCUCUUCUCUGUAGUUUCCUAAAUUUCUGUUCAAAUGUUACUCUUAUUUUGACAAGGGGUGUUUCCUUAUGAAUUCGAUGAUUCCUCCUAUUUAUAUACUCUUCCACAGAUCUAGUUGGCUGUUUAUAAGCAAGGGACAAGCAAAGUCUCUGUAACCAAUGAUUGUAAUUUUACUCCACAGUUGAAAUCUCCCAGAUGUUUGCUCUGUUUUCUGCUGUCCUGAGAGAGACCAGAGACUGUAAAUGCAUCUGCUUGCUGAAUUAAUGUGUUCCAUCUCAUUUUCCUUUCCACAAGAGUCUCUGUACUUAAUAGUUUUUCUAUUUUGAAUUGUUAACCCCCCUGUGGUGUUAGGACUGGUUAUUUGACAUUGCUGUUACAUCUAUUUGGGUGCAAAGUAUGCCAUUCAGUUUGGUACAACAGCAGAACUUCUGUGGCCAGAACCAGAACCAAAUCGGUAGUGCCAUGCACUCUCACCAAGGGGAAAGAUGAGUUAUUCUAAAAUUCUUUAGAAGAAACAGCUGGUUUUAUCAUAAUUUUUUACCUGUAAACACAUGUAAGCAAUUAUGCAACAGAAAGGAGAGAGACAAAUAAGAUCAAAGUUCAAAUCUUCAGCUGGAAUCAAUCAAGAAAAGCAAGGACAGAAGAUGGGGUGACACCAAGGAAUCUCGGGACCCGGAGGAAGCUAAUGACCUGAGCUGUAGGUGAAUACCUUUUCACCCCAAAUGACUGCCACAUAACAAAGAACAAACUCAGUUUUGGAAAUGCCCUUCCAGUUUAAGUUCAUUACUUCCUUCUUUGCUUAGCCUCACUCUUGCCAUGAGAAUGAUUCUGGGUGCAAUGGUGGCUUCUUUUCAUGCUUUGUUUGGGGUCCCAGAGUUUCCACCUUUGCCAGAAAAGCUUCACACCACUCUCAGUUAACCAGAGAUGAGGAAAAUGAAGAGAAAUGUUGCACAGGGUUGAGUUGUAAUGAAAACAAAGUUAGCAAACAGAAAAGCUAAUUUCUGAGAAGCCACGCACAUCUCUCUGGAAAUAGGUGUUUCAUGUGCUGAGAGACUUGGUUGUGUCUUCUCUUUUUCAUAGAAGACAGAAAAUGAAGUCUCCUUUGGGGACAGAACACAUACACAUUGUCUGAUCCACCAAUCCAGGGCCCUGAAGAGGCUCGUGAAUAGUUAGGAACCUAUAGAGGAGACAAAUCCUUCAGCAAACAAUCUUGUAAAUAGCCCACUGGCUGCCAGAAGACACAUUGUAUCUUUGUUCUUUCAUCAGGAAGAAUAUGGGCUUGGAAUAAACUUCAUGUGCCCAGCUAUGAAAUCAAUGACUACUACAAGAAGCAUAAAUAAGCCCUCAAAUUAAUCAAAAGUUCAAAUCAUAUAACCAAGACAAUAGCUAAAAGGGAUCUUAUAAACUUACAUUUAUAUUUCCUUUUUAUUUCUUCUCUUUACCAUGUUUUUCCUCUUUUUUACCUUGUGCUUUGUACCACCUAGUUUUGUUUUUUUAAUAAAUAAUUUAUUUCACAUGUCAAUCCCUUCUCCCUCUCCCUCCCCUCACCGACACCCCUUCGACCCCACCCCCGACUUACCCCCCACCCCAUCCACCCUCCACUCCCCAGGCAGGGUAGGGCCCUCCACAGGAGCUCCACAAAGUCCACCACAUCAUCCUGGGCUGGGCCUGGGCCCUUCCCCAUGUGUCCAGGGCCAGAGUGUAACCCUUCACAUGGGAUGGGCUCUCAUCUUACACCAGGGAAAAAUACUAAUCCACCACCAGGGGCCCCCUAGAGUGCAGAGGCCUCCUCAUUGACAUCCACGUUCAGGGGUCUGGAUCAGUCCAGUACUGGCCCCCCAGACAGCAUCUGGGGUCGAUGUUCUCCCCCUUGUUCAGGCCAGCUGUUUCUGUGGGUUUCACCAGCCUGGUACAGACCCCUUCACUCUUCAUUCCUCCCUCUCUGCAACUAGGUUCCAGAGUUCAGUUCAGUGUAUAUCUGGUACCACCUAGUUUUAUGUCAAUUUGACACAAGCUACAGAGGAAAGAGCCUUAUUUGAGAAAAUGCCUUCAUAUGGUAUGGCUGUAAGGACUUUUUAAAAUUAGUGGCCAACAGAGGAAUGUCCAGCUCAUUAUUGGUGGUGUCAAACCUGGGCUGGUGGUCUUGGGUUCUUUAAGAAAACUGGCUGAGCAAGUCAUGAGGAGCAAACCAGUAAGCAACAGUCUUCCAUGACUGCAUCAGUUCCUGUCUUCAGGUUCCUGCCUUCACUGCUUUAAAAUGCUAUAUGGAACUGUGAGUGAAAUAAACCCUUUCCUCGCCAGGUUGCUGUUGGUCAUGGUGUAACAUCACAGCAAUAGAAACUCUCACUAAGACACACUUACAUCUAAUGCUAAAACUUUUCCAUCUUUGACUUAAUUUCUGAGAUGAGAUGUUAAUGAUAUGCUAUAAAGAAAUGGGCAGCUGUUAUAACAUGCAGAGUUCCAAUCUUUGUGGGGAGGUGGAGCACAAAAUGAAGUGAGUAUCAUAGGCAAAAGGUGGCCAGAAGGGAAAAUAACAGCAUGUCGCACAAAGCAAAGAGUUUUGCUUGGGAAAAGUGUAUAUGUGGCAAGUGCCGGGGAGCUGUGACAAGGACACAGACCUGGGCAGAUGACAAGAACCUCAGAGAUGACAGCCAUCUCUGAAUGUCCCUGCCUUCCUUCUUCGUAUAUAUUUCCAUUUUCAGCAUGCAAUGUAACUCAACUCUAGUCCUUGUUGGUAGACCUAGCAAUUGUCUCCUGUUCCGAGACAGACUGAGUUCCCAUGCUGAAAGUUUUACAUGGGAAUUGAGAAGAAAUAAGAAAAUUAUUCUCUUGUUGCUGGACAAUAAGGUAUACAAUGCACAUAUUACCAAAAAUUCUUUGAAGCAAUGGAAAGAACUAUAUAGUAGGAUAUGAAAAAUAUAACAGGAUCAAAGACCAUGCUAGCAGAUGAAUAAGCUUUUCAAAAGCAAAAACCUGAAUCUUUUGCUCAAAAUUCCAGGGCUCACUUCUUCCUGGUGUUGCAAAAGGAAAGUUUACAGCCACACAAACCACUGUCCUGUUAUACUGAUCACCUCCUCAGUAUGUAAAUGUCUACAAAGAAAGUGUAACUGACCUAACUUGGAUUGUGCUUCAACCACUUUUCGGAUAAAGGAGGAAUGGGAGAUCAGGAGGAGCACUGCGUGAAACGGGAGAUGGAAAGAUGUGUGUCCAAAGGAAGGGAAGCCACACCGACCAAAAACAGAUGAAUCCAUUAUAAUUUGGAAGCUGAGUGGUGUUUUUUUUUUUUUUUUUUCUUUUCUCCCUAGCAUGAUAGCAAAAAACAAUUGCAGAAGAGAAAAGAAGAAAGACAUUUGGGAGGGAGAAAGAGAGACCGAAAGUAAUUAAAACUGUCAAAGAUCUCUAAAGCCGUCAGUUUGCAGCCCAGAAAACUGUGAUAAAUCCCUGGCACACAGCUGCAGCAGAGGAAACAGACGCCAUCCCAGACGCCCUUGGACAUAAGUGCUGAGGGCGUCAUUGUGUCAUGGAAACUCUCUGGAAGCCUACGAUUGCAAUAGUGUUUAAUCACACACUGCAUCUCCUGCCCUCUUCGCAUGUUUUACAAUCCUAAAUUUAAUACUCUAACUGGAUUAAUGGCAAAAAUAAAAACUAGGCCACUUAGCAAGGGUUAUUUUUUCCAUUCCUACAGAGUUAAUUGAAAAGGGGGGCCAUCUUCAGUUUUCCUCAGGCAGAAAACACAUGGGACACAUUUACAAGCCCCUCAUUGAAAGCCACUAUUGAAUUCAAGGGCCCUCAGCCACUCCACCCUGACCCAAAACACUUAAAAGUUUUAUUUUUAUUAGCUUUGUAGCAAUUAAAAUAAUGUACUCAUAUAACUUGGGUAGAAGACUUAGUUCAUAUUAUUUUAAGAAAAAUUAUUUAAUCUGGUUUUCUGUUUCAUUUUACUUUUUUUUAUUAUUCCUUUAUUUUGCAUGCAAAGUACAUUAACCAUUGACCAAAAUUACUUCUUCUUCUGGAUAAACAUUAUAACUCAUGGGAAGAAGAAAUAUUUCCAUCAGUAGGAGUGUUUAAAGAAACCAUGGCUGAUAUGUAUGUAAAAUACUAUGCACAAUGAAAAUGAAGAAGGAAGCUCCAUCUGUACUGGUGGGGGCAAAGAUGUUUAAAAGCAAGUUGCAGAAUGCUCACUAUAUUGCAUACUUUUUAAAAAAUAAAAUUGUAAACAUGUGAAGAGAGUCUCAGAAAACCUGAAACCAGUGAAAGAAUCAGAUUGGAUAUUGUUAAAAAGUUUUAUUUGCUGUGUUGUAUCCUUUAACUUGAAAGGAAAUAAAUUAUCGAUACAACUAAAAGCUUAAUGCUUUUAUAAGACAUUAUCUAAAUGAGAUUAAAGAUAUUGAUAAAUAUGGACCUGAGACUUGGCUCAGUAGUUUAGAGCACUCAUUGCUUACAGGUUUGAUUACUAAUAUUCAACUAGUGGCUGACAAUCAGCCUACCACUAUGGAAUCAUUAUUCUAGUUCCAGGGAAUCUAAUACUCAUGGGCAUUAGGUGUGCUUGUGGUACAUACACAUACAUACAGACAAAAUAUUCAUACCUAUUGAGUUCAUCUAAAAAAUUAAAAACACUACUAUAGAGUAUUUUUGUAAUCAGAAGAGUCAUCAGAAGAGUCAUGUCUGUCUUUGGGUUUCAAAGUAAGAUUUUGGAGGCUGCCCAGAUGUCUAGAGGUUAGGCAAAGGCCUUCUUGCAGUGGUGACACACCUGUCACUGAGGAUUUUGCCAUGGUCAGGUGGAAUCCAUACUCUGAGGAACCAUGCUUGCUUGAGUUCUACUUAUUAUCUAGGAAUUGUUUUUUAUAUACCCGAAGGAAACUUAAAGUGCAAUUUUCAUGCCAAGAAUGUUAAUAUUCCCAGUAAACACAGUGGGAAACUGCCAUAGUGUUUUAAAGACAUACAUUUUUUUCAUAGAUUCAGCCAGUCAUGGAAGGUACUUCCAACCCUUUCUAGUCAUUUUCUUUGUCUUUUAUACUAUGUACCAGGCUGGCUUCAAAGUCAUGAUUCCCUUACCUCAGUCUGUGAAGUGUUGAGAUUACAAGCAUGUAUUACCAUGCUCAGUUACUUGGUCAGAUUUUAUUUUAUUUAUUUGAGAAUUAACCCAGGACAUACUCACAUAUAGUGGCCAUGGACAAGUGCUCUAUCUCUGAGAUACAGCCUCAGCUUUCUUUAUAUAUAUUAUUUUGAGCCAAAAUCUCAGAAAGUCAUCCAGACCAGCUUAAAUUUCCUUUGUAGCUCACACUGGCAUUCUACCUGCUGUCCUCCUGUCUCAGCCCCAUCAGUAGCUGGGAUUACAGGCCUGUGCAAACAGGUCCAGAUCUAGAGAGCUUUGUAACAAUAGAAUCUUAUUCAGUUGGAACAAGACUGUGAAACAACGUCAUUUUUUGUUUAAAGCUCUUCAUUGGAUUCUAAUUCUCAAGAGAGUUAAUAAUCAGUGAUUAUCUAUUACCAACUCCAUUUCCCAAGACACAAUCUGAACUCAAAUAGGCUAUGUAUCCACAUAAACAUGGGAGAGGCAACCUGGCUUUGGAACUUCAAUUCUCUCUACACGAUGUAAAAUUAUGUUUUGGCUUCAAAACCCUACUCUCUCUACUAGGUGUUUUACCUUGAACAAAUCAUUAAGACCUUUGAUUUUAUGUUUACUCAGUUAUUAAAUAGACACAACAGCAAGCACCAUACUGUUACAGUGAAAAUGAAAGAAGUCAUGAGCAUAGCAUGCUGUGUUCAAAAUGUGGUAGUUUCUCUAAUUAACACUGAGAUGCUAGUAUUGUACGCAAGCUCUUAUAGAUGAACAGAUCAUACCUGCACCUUUCCAGGACUUGUUUAAUCUCUCCUUGAUUGUAGUUCCUUCUUUUCUCCUCCAAUGGAAAUAUUUCAUCAGCUGAAGUUAAUGUUAUCAAAGUGCAGACACUAGUUAUUUUAUCCUAGCACCUCAAAUUUGUUGUAUUUUUGUCUGAGUUUGAAAGCAUUGUGUCAGAAUACAAUCUAGACACUGGGAUGAUAAAGGAGAUUUGUUGCUUACUUUUUGGAAUGUCUUCUGGACCAGUUAUAUGUACCUUGACAUAUGCAUUGUAAUAUCUACUGAUGUAAUUGGUACGUCAUUUCUUUUAUUCUUUUAUUCCUGGCCCUUCAUAAAACUGGUGUGUUUUGCCCCCAUUAAUUUGUUUGAAAGAUAGCAUGGUUGAUGUGUUAGACUUGGAGCCAAGAAAUUCUGUGUUUUCUAUCUGGGUAGUUUGGCUGAAUCUCACUGUGGUCCUCAGAUAUUAAAAAUAAACUUUUGUACCUAUAAAUUGAAUGAUAUUUCAUAGUAAUCCCAGUAACUUUCUUAGAAAUAAAAUAUAAAUAUAUAAAGAUUAUGAAGGAAUGGAAUGUUGAUAUUUAUAUCCAGUUUCAUAUUUUCAGAAGAGCAAUAUUGGAGACAACAGGUUAUUUAGAAAAAAUUCUAGUCUAGACAUAUAUAGGAAUAGAGAUGCAGAACGUAUGUGGCUUCAAGUAUGAAGCAAGAGGGCAGAGAAGAUGACUUCAUUACUAACAGCACUCUCUAUAUAAGCAUGAGGGCAUGACUUGAAUUUGACUCUUCAGAACCAAUGUAAAACAUCUGGUAUGGCAUGUGUACCUAUAACCCCAUAUCAAGACAGACACAUGAAUCCUGAAAACUACCUGGUAAGCCUAGCCAACAUGGCAGGCCUCUAGUUCAGUGAGAUCUUUAGCCUAUAAGUUGUCAAGUGAUAGAGGAAAACAAGAGAACAUUCGUGCACAUGUGCGCACACACACACACACACACACACACACACACACACACACACACACGAGAGAGAGAGAGAGAGAGAGAGAGAGAGAGAGAGAGAGAGGUAACAAGAGUAGCCAUGAAACAACGCAGCAUGUACAGAUGCAUCAACAAGUCUUAAUUUAACCCAAGUGUUGAUUCAUUGGCUAUUUGGGAGAGCUUUUGACUACUCUGUCAUGUUUUAGUUUCAAUAAAGAUAGGAAUAUUUCAAUGGUGAGAAUGAUAUUUUGGACUAUGAAUCUCACAUAAAGAAACAAAACCAUGUGUCAUAGUUACUGUUAUAUUGCUGUGAGUAGACACCAUGACCAAGGCAACUUAUAAGAGAAAGCAUUUAAUUGCAGACUUUUAUACACUUUCAGAAGUUCAGCUCAUGGCCAUCAUGGUAGGUUGUGUGGCAGAAUGCAGAACAGGCAUUCUGCUACAGCAAUCAGUAGCAAAGAGCUUGCAUCUGGAUGCUCAGGCAGGAGGUAAAGAGAGAGACACUUGCUUGGCCAGGAGUGGACUUUUGAGGCCUCAAAGCCUAUUCCUAGUUACACACAUCAACAAACAAGGCCACAUCUCCUGUCUUAUUUAGGGUUUCAAUUGUUGCAACAAAAUGCCAUGACCAUGAAGCGAGUUGGGAAAGUAAGGGUCUGUUUGGCUUACACUUGCACAUUGUGCUCAUCACGUGAGGGAGUCAGGACAGGAACUCAAAACAGGGUGGGAUCCUGGAGACAGAAGCUGAUUCAGAGGCCAUUGAGGGGUACUAUUUACUGACUUGCCUCUCCUGGCUUGUUAAAUCUGUGUUUUUACAAAUACAGGAUCACAAGUCCAGGGAUGGCAUCACCCACUAUGGAUUGGGUCCUCCAAAUGAGAAAAUGCCUUACAGCUUGAUCUCAUGGAGGCAUUUCCUCAAUUGAGAUUCCUUUCUAUUUGAUAACUCUAGCUUGUGUCAAGUUGACAUAAAACCAGUCAGUCCACCUCCUAAUUAAAUAAAGUGUUGUUUUAGAAAUGAAUGUUUACUAAUUCUCUAAUUCUAUUCCUUAUCCUUAGCUUACCAUUAGAGAAA